rnacentral:rRNA from 1 species
CCUACGGGCGGCUGCAGUGGGGAAUAUUGCACAAUGGGCGCAAGCCUGAUGCAGCCAUGCCGCGUGUGUGAAGAAGGCCUUCGGGUUGUAAAGCACUUUCAGCGGGGAGGAAGGCGGUGAGGUUAAUAACCUCAUCGAUUGACGUUACCCGCAGAAGAAGCACCGGCUAACUCCGUGCCAGCAGCCGCGGUAAUACGGAGGGUGCAAGCGUUAAUCGGAAUUACUGGGCGUAAAGCGCACGCAGGCGGUCUGUCAAGUCGGAUGUGAAAUCCCCGGGCUCAACCUGGGAACUGCAUACGAAACUGGCAGGCUAGAGUCUUGUAGAGGGGGGUAGAAUUCCAGGUGUAGCGGUGAACUGCGUAGAGAUCUGGAGGAAUACCGGUGGCGAAGGCGGCCCCCUGGACAAAGACUGACGCUCAGGUGCGAAAGCGUGGGGAGCAAACAGGAUUAGAUACCCGUGUAGUC